rnacentral:misc_RNA from 1 species
UCCGGUUUGGCACCGGCAGUCUCCCUAGAGUCCCCGGCUUCACCCGCUGGUAACUAGGGACGGGGGUUGCGCUCGUUGCGGGACUUAACCCAACAUCUCACGACACGAGCUGACGACAGCCAUGCAGCACCUGUGCACGGACUCCGAAGAGGGCCCGUGGUUUCUCACGGGUUUCCCGUGCAUGUCAAGCCCAGGUAAGGUUCUUCGCGUUGCGUCGAAUUAAUCCACAUAAUCCACCGCUUGUGCGGGUCCCCGUCAACUCCUUUGAGUUUUAACCUUGCGGCCGUACUCCCCAGGCGGUCAACUUCACGCGUUAGCUUCGUUACCAAGGAAUUGCUUCCCCGACAACCAGUUGACAUAGUUUAGGGCGUGGACUAC